UACAGAGGUCCCAAGCGUUGUUCGGAUUCACUGGGCGUAAAGGGCGCGUAGGCGGUUCGUACAGUCAGACGUGAAAUUCCUGGGCUCAACCUGGGGGCUGCGUUUGAUACGUGCGGACUUGAGUGCGGAAGAGGGUCGUGGAAUUCCCAGUGUAGAGGUGAAAUUCGUAGAUAUUGGGAAGAACACCGGUGGCGAAGGCGGCGACCUGGUCCGAUACUGACGCUGAGGCGCGAAAGCGUGGGGAGCAAACAGG
rnacentral:rRNA from 1 species